UACAGAGGUCCCGAGCGUUGUUCGGAUUCAUUGGGCGUAAAGGGUGCGUAGGUGGCGGGGUAAGUCAGGUGUGAAAUCUCGAGGCUCAACCUCGAAACUGCACUUGAUACUGCCUUGCUCGAGUACUGGAGAGGAGAUUGGAAUUUACGGUGUAGCAGUGAAAUGCGUAGAUAUCGUAAGGAAGACCAGUGGCGAAGGCGAAUCUCUGGACAGUUACUGACACUGAGGCACGAAGGCCAGGGGAGCAAACGGG
rnacentral:rRNA from 1 species